UACUCACAUGGCUGGUGGCAGAGCAGCUCUUAGCAAUUAAUAAGUCUCUCAGCUUGAGCUCUUCUUUCCCCUUUUGGAUGGCAGCGCUCUCUGCGUGGCUCGCUCUCACUCGCGCACACACACACAAACCCGAUCAGAUGCUUCAGGACCGGCCACUUUGCGAAGGGAACAACACGGGAGGGUUUGUAUUACUCCAGGUGCCUGACAGGGCUGGCCGGGAAGAACUGCUGACCUGUCUAAAGAAAUAUAUGUGCGUCUCCUGGAAUGGCAGGACAGAUGGUGCCCGUUCGCGCCGCGGCGACUUCUCUCGAUGGCACACCGAGCGGAGCUGAUGAGUGGAAAUGGACUACGAAAAAGUUUAGACCAUGAGGUAAUUAUAAAAACCAAUAUAGCGAUUUUGAAAGAGAGACUCACUUCGCAAUUUUGCACCGAGGAGCAAAAUAUUCUGGCGAAGUCUGGGGUCAUCACCGACAAUGGAGCAAUGUUCCCUCCCUGUUUAAUAUACAUGGUGUGGGAAAUGGACGGAAAAUAUAGCUAGCACCUGUAGUGCCAAAGGAAAAAAAAUCAAAUUACUACAUCAUAUUUUGGGGCUAUUUUGCAGGACAUUCUUCAAAAAUAGACUCAUAUUUAAUUAUAUCUCUAAUGAUUUUCUCUGUGAGACUGCUAGUUAAUAGUAAAGAGGAAAUGGGUUUUCUACCGAGUUUUUGCAUUUUGAUAUCUUAAAAAAAAAAUAAAAUUCUUAUGUGUUAAUAGCGCACCUGGGACUGCAAGCGACCGAACUGGGUCAACUUUUAAUUAACAUGCUGACCUGCCGAAGAAGCAAAACUCCCUUAAAAAAGAAGAAGAAGAAAAAAAAAACAACCAAAAAUUUAUACCUAUACAUACACUGCCGU